GUGGCUAGAGCUUCUUAAGAGAUACAAGCAACGAUACAGAGAAGAUUAGCAUGGCCCCUGCGCAAAGAUGACAUGCAAAUUUGUGAAAUCUGACCAUGUGGU